GACGAACGCUGGCGGCGUGCUUAACACAUGCAAGUCGAACGGAAAGGCCCUGCUUUUGUGGGGUGCUCGAGUGGCGAACGGGUGAGUAACACGUGAGUAACCUGCCCUUGACUUUGGGAUAACUUCAGGAAACUGGGGCUAAUACCGGAUAGGAGCUCCUGCUGCAUGGGGGGGGUUGGAAAGUUUCGGCGGUUGGGGAUGGACUCGCGGCUUAUCAGCUUGUUGGUGGGGUAGUGGCUUACCAAGGCUUUGACGGGUAGCCGGCCUGAGAGGGUGACCGGCCACAUUGGGACUGAGAGACGGCCCAGACUCCUACGGUAGGCAGCAGUGGGGAAUAUUGCACAAUGGGCGGAAGUCUGAGGCAGCAACGCCGCGUGCGGGAUGACGGCCUUCGGGUUGUAAACCGCUUUCGCCUGUGACGAAGCGUGAGUGACGGUAAUGGGUAAAGAAGCACCGGCUAACUACGUG
rnacentral:rRNA from 1 species